GGAAGGCAGACUCAUCACCUUCAAGUGUGUACUCUGAAUUUUUUCUUUCCAUAAAGUUGUGUUCAUAUCUACAGUUAAGUUAAGGAUGAAAGACUCAGCCGUAAGUUAGACUAGGGCAGUGAGACAUUAUGAUUCUUCAGAAAUUUUUCUCCAAAGGAGCUAAUAGAGGUAACAAUACACAAACACAUACAACUUUCUUCAACUUCCGAACAACAACGACAACAACAAAAGUAAUUUGAACAUUACAUACUGAAGGAAGCAGCAAGCAUUCAAUUGCUGGACAUCCCUGACUGAUUGCUAUCACAGCUCCAGGAGUGCUCAGACACUUCCCAAAUAAGUAACAGCUCUCAAAUAUUCCCCACCCAAUUACAGGAGUCAGAAAAGCAUGUGCAUAUUUUGCUGUGACCUCGUGCACCUAAAAGUCAAGGAUCACGAAGAAGCUGACCCUCUUUUCAACAGCAGGACUACCGUGCCCAAAGAUCCUCGUAUACAACUAUAGAGAGAAACUAUAACACUACAGAAAUUGCUUAUAUAAUGAUAGAAUAAGGAAAAAAAAUGCAUGUGUUUUGUUUCUCACAGGUCUCAAGUCACUUAUUUUUAAAGCUACUUAACUUGUCCAAUAAAACCAGCAAAAUGAUCUACAUAAAUCACCUUAGG